GGGAUAGCCCAGGGAAACCUGGAUUAAUACCGGGAUGACGACGGGACCCGCGAUGGCGGGAUCCGGGAAAGGCGCGUGCGGCGCCGCCGGGGGAUGGAGUCUGCGUCCCAUUAGCUAGACGGCGGGGUAACGGCCCACCGUGGCGACGAUGGGUAGCCGGCCUGAGAGGGUCGACGGCCACAUUGGAACUGAGACACGGUCCAGGACUCCUACGGGAGGCAGCAGCUAAGAUCUUCCGCAAUGGGCGAAAGCCUGACGGAGCGACGCCCGCGUGAACGAAGAAGGCCGUGAGGUUGUAAAGUUCUUUUCGGGAGGGGGAACAACCGUGGCAGGGGAAUGGCCCGCGGGAUGACGUGAAUCCCGGAAUAAGCCCCGGCUAACUACGUGCCAGCCGCUGC
rnacentral:rRNA from 1 species